rnacentral:lncRNA from 1 species
UCGACGACAUUCACAGUGUGGAAUGUGUUCUAUUACGGUGAUGCAUGCAAAAUAACGUCAUUUCAUAAAACCGUCACACGUUUUCCCCUUUUUCUCUAAUAUUUUCAUCGAUUACGAAUGAAAUUAUCUAUAGUUGAUUGGAUUCCGAAAGCAAAUGUGUACCACCACAUCAAUGCAUAUUUUACAGGCCCGGCCCAGCAAUAAAAUUAAAAUAAAUUAGUUGAUUGAAAAGUCACGAACGCUACUGUUUCUAGGUAGCUAAUUCUGUUCAUACAAAAGGAAAACUAAUCCUCAAAGUUUGACCAAUAUUUCGGAGAAUAUGGGAAGAAAAACUAAUUAAAGCUAACACGAGGAUGGGAAACUAUAAAAAUAUUGAAAACAGUUAGUAUUUUUCUUUAUAUAAAAGUUCCACAAAGCCAAUCAGAUUAGUCUGUAUUUUUGGAUUUGCUUUGCAUAAUUGUACUAUAAUUUAUCUCUUUAUCAAAUGAUGCGAUAUAAAAAGAAUAUUAACACGUUAUUUCGUUGAGGGGUAUUUCGUUAUACUAACAAUGAUGUUGAAGGUGUUCAAAAAAAAAAAAAAAAAAAAAAAAAAAAAAAAACAAUGAUGUUGAAGAUCAAUAAAGUCAAUAAAGUUAAAGAGAUAAGCUGAUCAUCUAGGAAUCUAUCGCACUAAACGAUACAAUUUUCAACGUAAAAUUAUUAUUUUGUCUUAAACUAGAUUAUAAUUCAGAGGAAGAAAUGUCAAAGUAAGUCGAAGUGUAUACAGUAGGACCCCUGAAGCGUGAUAUGUUGCAUCAACUCAAUUUUAUGUAUUAGCAUUAUUCUAAGUUGCAUGUAUUUUAUCGAAGCCGAAAAUACAGGAUUCUCUUGGACACAUAAAACAAAUAGAUACGUUGUAUCUAGAAGAUAUACAAGUCGGUGUCCACUGUUUUCAAAUCGUAAGAUUAGCUAGUAUCUUAUAAAUAUCUUCAUCCAGCCGGGAAAGUUUUAUUUACAGUGAAAAGGGUUCACAUAUGAUCAACAUAGUGUAGGUCAAUUGGUUAGGUUAGGAGUAAUAUUUAUUGCAUCUGAAAGUAAGGAAUUGGUAUAGAAGCUUCCAAAUGAUUUGGCGCCGUCUCAAUUAAUCUUGAUGGAGGAAAAUCAAGAAGGAUUAUCAUAUCAUGAGUCAUGAGCUUACUGGAUCCAACCCCUCGUAAAGGACGAAUCUUUAUCAUGCUGGAUUAUGCAUAUAUUACACACAUCUUUAAGCCAAAACUAAUCAUCAGAUUAUCUCAUUAAUUAAUGAGAAUAUACAUAUGAAGGAGAAAAAAUCUUAUUAAAAACGUACAGCCGUGAAUUAUAUAUCCAUUUAAAAACUUAACACUGACACUAAUUUGACGCUGCUGUUAGAUCGGUGUUAAAGAAAUUAUUCAAUCAAAAACAUUUAGAAUAUGCUCCAUCUGUUUUAUAUCAAGCAUCAUUCUAACAUUUU